GACGAACGUUGGCGGCGCGCUUAAUGCAUGCAAGUCGAGGGAGAAGCGUUGGUUCCGUAAGGUUCCGACGUGGAAACCGGCGAACAGGUGCGUAACACGUGAGAAACCUGCCCCCCAGACCGGGAUAGCCCAGGGAAACUUGGAUUAAUACCGGAUACUCUCUCGGGACCGCAUGGUCCCUUGAGGAAAUGGUCCGCUGCUGGGGGAUGGUCUCGCGGCCUAUCAGGUUGUUGGUGAGGUAACGGCUCACCAAGCCGAAGACGGGUAGCUGGUCUGAGAGGACGAUCAGCCACACUGGAACUGAGACACGGUCCAGACUCCUACGGGAGGCAGCAGCAGGGAAUAUUGCACAAUGGGCGAAAGCCUGAUGCAGCGACGCCGCGUGCGGGAUGAAGGCCUUCGGGUUGUAAACCGCUUUCAGGAGGGAAGAAACUGACGGUACCUCCAGAAGAAGCUCCGGCCAACUACGUGCCAGCAGCCGCGGUAAUACGUAGGGAGCGAACGUUGUCCGGAAUUAUUGGGCGUAAAGGGCUCGUAGGCGGUUCAACAAGUCGGUCGUGAAAGCCCGGGGCUCAACCCCGGGACGCCGGUCGAAACUGUUGUGACUCGAGUUCGGUAGAGGUGAGUGGAAUUCUCAGUGUAGCGGUGGAAUGCGCAGAUAUUGAGAGGAACACCAUUAGCGAAGGCGGCCCACUGGGCCGAUACUG
rnacentral:rRNA from 1 species